ACAAAAGGCAAAUAUAUAAGGUAUGCACAGAAAUAAGAAAAUCAUACAAUAAUAUAUGUUUUACAACAACAAUUCCUGGACUUAAUCCCCAAGUGAUGUAUCCUAAAUGAUACAAAAAACUUUUCAUGUAUAUCAAAUAUUCAUGUAUACUCCUAUAAUAUUCAAAUCCUCUCCUAUCUCCUUCACCAAAUACUCCUUUCGAAAAUUCUCUAAUCAAAUGCUACUAUGAAAUUUAGGUCAUUCUCUGAGCUAAACUUAGAAUCAUAUAUUAAAUGGAAACAACAAAUAAAUUAGCUAUGAAGAACCCAAGCUAUUUGACUCAUUUAGUUAGA
rnacentral:lncRNA from 1 species